rnacentral:rRNA from 1 species
GCGGCGGACGGGUGAGUAACACGUGGGCAACCUGCCCUGCAGACUGGGAUAACUUCGGGAAACCGGAGCUAAUACCGGAUAACACCGAAAACCGCAUGGUUUUCGGUUGAAAGGCGGCUUUUAGCUGUCACUGCAGGAUGGGCCCGCGGCGCAUUAGCUAGUUGGUGAGGUAACGGCUCACCAAGGCGACGAUGCGUACCCGACCUGAGAGGGUGACCGGCCACACUGGGACUGAGACACGGCCCAGACUCCUACGGGAGGCAGCAGUAGGGAAUCUUCCGCAAUGGACGAAAGUCUGACGGAGCAACGCCGCGUGAGCGAAGAAGGUCUUCGGAUCGUAAAGCUCUGUUGUCAGGGAAGAACAAGUGCCGUUCGAACAGGGCGGUACCUUGACGGUACCUGACGAGGAAGCCACGGCUAACUACGUGCCAGCAGCCGCGGUAAUAC